AGAGUUUGAUCCUGGCUCAGAACGAACGCAGGCGGCAGGCUUAACACAUGCAAGUCGAGCGCCCCGCAAGGGGAGCGGCAGACGGGUGAGUAACGCGUGGGAACAUACCCUUUGGUUCGGAAUAACUCAGGGAAACUUGAGCUAAUACCGGAUACGUCCGUAAGGAGAAAGAUUUAUCGCCAAAGGAUUGGCCCGCGUCCGAUUAGCUAGUUGGUGAGGUAACGGCUCACCAAGGCUACGAUCGGUAGCUGGUCUGAGAGGAUGAUCAGCCACAUUGGGACUGAGACACGGCCCAAACUCCUACGGGAGGCAGCAGUGGGGAAUAUUGGACAAUGGGCGCAAGCCUGAUCCAGCCAUGCCGCGUGAGUGAUGAAGGCCUUAGGGUUGUAAAGCUCUUUUGUCCGGGAAGAUAAUGACUGUACCGGAAGAAUAAGCCCCGGCUAACUUCGUGCCAGCAGCCGCGGUAAUACGAAGGGGGCUAGCGUUGUUCGGAAUCACUGGGCGUAAAGCGCACGUAGGCGGACCGUUAAGUCGGAGGUGAAAGCCUGGGGCUCAACCCCAGAACUGCCUUCGAUACUGGCGGUCUUGAGUAUGGUAGAGGUUGGUGGAACUCCGAGUGUAGAGGUGAAAUUCGUAGAUAUUCGGAAGAACACCAGUGGCGAAGGCGGCCAACUGGACCAUUACUGACGCUGAGGUGCGAAAGCGUGGGGAGCAACAGGAUUAGAUACCCUGGUAGUCCACGCUGUAAACGAUGAGAGCUAGCCGUUGGGGUGCAUGCACCUCAGUGGCGCAGCUAACGC
rnacentral:rRNA from 1 species